CCCUUAGAUGUCCUGGGCCGCACGCGCGCUACACUGAUGCAUUCAACGAGUUUUGUUUUCCUUGGCCGAGAGGCCUGGGCAAUCUUUUGAACGUGCAUCGUGAUAGGGAUAGAUUAUUGCAAUUAUUAAUCUUGAACGAGGAAUUCCUAGUAAACGCAGAUCAUCAAUCUGCAUUGAUUACGUCCCUGCCCUUUGUACACACCGCCCGUCGCACCUACCGAUUGAAUGGUCCGGUGAAGCCUCGGGAUUGUGGCGAGUUUCCUUUAUUGGGAGUUUGUCGCGAGAACUUGUCUAAACCUUAUCAUUUAGAGGAAGGUGAAGUCGUAACA
rnacentral:rRNA from 1 species